rnacentral:rRNA from 1 species
UGGGGAAUAUUGCACAAUGGGCGCAAGCCUGAUGCAGCCAUGCCGCGUGUGUGAAGAAGGCCUUCGGGUUGUAAAGCACUUUCAGCGAGGAGGAAGGUGGUGAGCUUAAUACGCUCAUCAAUUGACGUUACUCGCAGAAGAAGCACCGGCUAACUCCGUGCCAGCAGCCGCGGUAAUACGGAGGGUGCAAGCGUUAAUCGGAAUUACUGGGCGUAAAGCGCACGCAGGCGGUUUGUUAAGUCAGAUGUGAAAUCCCCGGGCUCAACCUGGGAACUGCAUUUGAAACUGGCAAGCUAGAGUCUCGUAGAGGGGGGCUAGAAUUCCAGGUGUAGCGGUGAAAUGCGUAGAGAUCUGGAGGAAUACCGGUGGCGAAGGCGGCCCCCUGGACGAAGACUGACGCUCAGGUGCGAAA